rnacentral:rRNA from 1 species
ACGUACGCUGGCGGCACGCCUAACACAUGCAAGUCGAACGAAGUAGCAAUACUUAGUGGCAGACGGGUGAGUAACAUGUAGGUAUCUGCCCUUUGGCCUGGAAUAACACGAGGAAACUUGUGCUAAUACCGGAUAAGUCUUUACGGAGAAAGCUUUAUGCACCAUUGGAUGAGCCUGCACUUGAUUAGUUUGUUGGUGGGGUAAUGGCCUACCAAGACUGUGAUCAAUAGCUGAUUUGAGAGGAUGAUCAGCCACAUUGGGACUGAGACACGGCCCAAACUCCUACGGGAGGCAGCAGUGGGGAAUCUUGCACAAUGGAGGAAACUCUGAUGCAGCGAUGCCGCGUGAGUGAAGAAGGCCCUUGGGUUGUAAAGCUCUUUCGUCGGGGAAGAAAAUGACUGUACCCGAAUAAGAAGGUCCGGCUAACUUCGUGCCAGCAGCCGCGGUAAUACGAAGGGACCUAGCGUAGUUCGGAAUUACUGGGCUUAAAGAGUUCGUAGGUGGUUGAAAAAGUUAGUGGUGAAAUCCCAGAGCUUAACUCUGGAACUGCCAUUAAAACUUUUCAGCUAGAGUAUGAUAGAGGAAAGCAGAAUUUCUAGUGUAGAGGUGAAAUUCGUAGAUAUUAGAAAGAAUACCAAUUGCGAAGGCAGCUUUCUGGAUCAUUACUACACUAG